AGCCGGCCUGAGAGGGCGACCGGCCACACUGGGACUGAGACACGGCCCAGACUCCUACGGGAGGCAGCAGUGGGGAAUAUUGCACAAUGGGCGAAAGCCUGAUGCAGCGACGCCGCGUGAGGGAUGACGGCCUUCGGGUUGUAAACCUCUUUCAGCAGGGAAGAAGCGAAAGUGACGGUACCUGCAGAAGAAGCACCGGCUAACUACGUGCCAGCAGCCGCGGUAAUACGUAGGGUGCGAGCGUUGUCCGGAAUUAUUGGGCGUAAAGAGCUCGUAGGCGGCCUGUUGCGUCGGUUGUGAAAGCCCGGGGCUCAACCCCGGGUCUGCAGUCGAUACGGGCAGGCUAGAGUUCGGUAGGGGAGAUCGGAAUUCCUGGUGUAGCGGUGAAAUGCGCAGAUAUCAGGAGGAACACCGGUGGCGAAGGCGGAUCUCUGGGCCGAUACUGACGCUGAGGAGCGAAAGCGUGGGGAGCGAACAGGAUUAGAUACCCUGGUAGUCCACGCCGUAAACGGUGGGAACUAGGUGUGGGCGACAUUCCACGUCGUCCGUGCCGCAGCUAACGCAUUAAGUUCCCCGCCUGGGGAAGUACGG
rnacentral:rRNA from 1 species